CAAGAGCCAUGGUUUCUCUCAAUCCCAGAUCUCGGGUAUCAUUAGGAAGUGCCCUACGCUGAUUCUGGCGAGUCCUGAGAGGACCCUCUUGCCCAAAUUGAAGUAUCUGCGCUCUGUCGGCUUUUCCGGCUCUGACCUGGCGCCAAUGAUCACCUUUGCUCCCUACUUUUUGACUAGGAGCUUAGAGAAGCACCUCAUCCCCAAUUUCAGUAGGCUGCGGGACUUCCUUGGGUGCAAUAAGAGCGCGGUUACAGCUAUUAGACGCAGUCCAAGAAUAUUGUUACAUGGUUUCGAGGCUACAGUUGAUCGUGUCGUCAAGAUUUUGAGAGAUAAUGGAGUGCGUGAAUCAAGCAUUAUGUGGUUAGUUAAGUUUCAUUUAAGGAAGUUGAUGAAUUCGUACGAUCACCUUGAGAAAAUUGUGGAGAAAACCAAGGGGAUGGGCUUUGAUGAUCCUUCUGCGGCAAAGUUCGCUGUGGCUAUGGUAGCAGUCAUGGGGAUGAGCGAAUCAACUUGGGAGAGGAAAGUGGAUGCUUACAGCAGGUGGGGUUGGUCUAGAGAUGAUGCCAUGAGUGCUUUUGUGAAGAGUCCUUGGUGCAUGACAUUGUCUGAGGAAAAAAUAACCGCAGUGAUGGGAUUCUUUGUCAAGGAAAUGGGGUUUGAAUCUUCCUUUCUUCUGCAACAUCCUACCUUGAUGUCGCUGAGCUUAGAAAAACGGAUUCGUCCUCGAUGUUUGAUUUUUAAACAUUUGUCGUCACAUGGUUUGAUGAAGACAAAGUUUGGCUUGACUACCCUGUUGACGAUUUCUGAUAAAGAUUUCCUGGUGAGGUUUGUGACCCCUCAUAUAGGGGUAGCUCCAGAAUUGCUGGAUAUAUAUCAGGAGAAGAAGCAUAUGGCGAUGGGGGCACUGGUUCCAUGAAAUGGCACAUGGUACCAAAUAAUUCGUUUGUCCCUCUUUCAUUUAAGGUUGUCAUUCUGUUUAUUUUGCGUCUCAACUUUUGGCUGCUGAUUCUUUUGAACUGUGUAGUGUAUCGAUGGAGAACGCCUGCCAUAUCUUUUGAAAUCAUGGAAAAUGUCCAUUGUUUCACAUUCUCCCUUUAAGUUGGCUCUUUAUUCUUAGGCUUUCUGUAGACCUUGCCUUGAGGUUAAAUGUUCAUAUGAAAGCAUGGCCUAGAUGAUCCCUGAUUGUAGGCUUAAUAAGGUAAGAAAGUUAAGUUGCUCAUGUAUGCUGGUUAAUUCUUUACCUGCUCAGAAUUUUUCCAAAUUGAGAAGCUUUGGGAAAGUGCCAAAAGGAACGAGGAAACCAUAGCUAUGAAUGCUUGGAAGUCUCAAUCUUCUGAUCCACAGCAAUCUUCAGAGUGACAGGUUAAAGUUUGACUUGAAUGCGCCUUGAUGUUCUGCAUAUUGGUUGUACAGCAAAGAUAGAUUGGAAGUUUGCUUCGGCAAACCCUGCUUCACUGCCCACCAUUUUCACUUCUCGCGCUAAGAUUAAUCUCCAGUGCCACCACCACGAAUCAACCCCUUUCAUGGUCUCUUAUUUCUUGAGUUUGUGUGGGUUGUCUGCUGAAUCUGUGGUGUUUGUGUCCAGCUGUGCCAACUUCAAGACCGCGAGACUGGACUUGGUCAUUCACUUCUUCAUGAACAAUGGCCUUCUAUUGAUACCAGAUCUCGCAGAUCAUUAGGGACACUUCCUCAGGUGAUUGUGGCCAAUCCUGGGAGGGAACCUUUUGCCCAAAUUCAAUUAUGUGUUCUCUCGGCUUUUCCUACUAUGAUCUUGCCAAAGUCAUCACCGCUUUUCAGGUACAUUGAUGAGAGCCCGGAGAGCGGCCUCAUCGCUCUCCGCUCUCUGCUCUGCAUGGAACAAUUCUUAUCAAAGUUUCAUUUUUUUAAUAUUUCUCCUUACUGCACUCACAUCAUAUGGACGGACGAUACUACCCAGGAAAGCAAAUGGUUCAAGAUAAUUGCUGUUUUGCAGAAUAUAUUUUGUGGGAUAGAGCUCUAUAUAAAGCUAAAGUAGGAAAUGGGCAUUAUGCGAAAUUGCAAACUGGUGAAAGCUUUCCUUCUCGCUGUCUUCGUUAUAAGAUGAUGAACAAAAAUUAGAUUCAGAGGCGGGCAGGUCCGCUUCUUGUUUUCUCAGGAAUGCGAAGAAUAAAGAGUGUGCAUGUGAGGAAAAGAGUAUGAUGGAAAAUGCUCUUUUUAAAAUCACUUGAAUAGAGGAGUCCGCCUUUACAAUUCAUUGACAUAUUACAUAUAGAUUUCUCCCUCUGCCUAAAGCCCAAGCUAAAUAUCCUGGCUACGUAAUUAUUUUUAUCACGACACUUGUUGUAGUUGUCUAGGUUGCAACCAAAGACGUGAUCUCCUACCGUCUUGAAAGUGGAAGGGGUCUGACCAGACUUGUCCCCUGUUGUAGCAAUUGGAACGUCCAUAUCCAAAGGAUGUCUUGUCGUAGAGACGAAUGUUGCCAUCAGAGAGGUGAGCAGUGGUCCAGGAUCAACCUUGGACCAGCCCAACUCGGCCGGUCUUGGUCCAGUUCCCAAGGAGACAAGGUCGGUCCCUAAUUCUGGGACCCUUGAACCUUGCAUUGUUCGAAUUGGUCAUCGGUUUUGAAAUUUUAGGAUGGGGAUUGGACCAACCCUAGUUCAAACCAAGCCCUAGGUGACUUUGUUGUCUUUCUUUUGCUAUGUAAAGUAGAAACUCUCGUUUGACCAAAAGAGAUAGAAACCCUCUUUGUCUUUGCUUUUUGUAGCCGGCUUUGUUCACUUGCGUCGCUCGCCUUUGUUUUAUUGCCUAUCUUACCGAGGAGAUUACCAUCGAUAAGUAGAGUUUGCACAUUGAAGUGGAAUGAAUAUAAGUGGUGAGAUAUUUUAUCGAUUGUGCUAUUAAAAACUAUUGUUAAGUAUUAAUUUACGUGUUGUUUGUUUUGUUUUUAGGUGUUAUGAAGUUGAAGCAAUCUUUUCAUGACGAGCAAGAUAUGAAGUUGCAUAAUUUAUGGUUUAUGUUACGUAUUUUAACUUAUGUUGUCUUUUUUUAUUUCAUGUGUUUGUCUUCUACGAUUUGUCAUUUUUUGCAAGUGAUGAUUUUUAUUAUUACCUUAUCUUAGAUUUAUGUUUGUUAUGUAUCGAUAUUUAUAGUUUGAUUGCGUAAUAUCGCAUUAUCGAUGGAUAUGUAAUUUGAAAGAAUACGUUUGUAUGUUUAGAAAAAUUAAAAAAAGAAAAAAAGAAUUAAUUGGUCCUAGGUUGACCCCUAGAAUAAGACUAGGCCCAUAGUCAAUCCAAUCCGGUCUAAAAAAUUGGGAGCCAAUAUUAGACAAAUUGAUUUGGGGUUAGGUGUUGGACCAGCCCAAUUCAAACCAUGCUCACCUUUGCUUCUUUAGUUAAAAAACAGGAGAAUACCACAAGGGAAGGACUUGUAUGAUUUCCAUUGGCUUUAUGCUAAAGCUAUCAUACUUUAUAAAUUAGCAACGGGUGCAUCUUUAACUUUACUACAAUGUAUUGACACUACUUGCAUCCAUCAAGAAAUUAUGUGCCAUUGCGGUUAAAGAAGAACCAAGAUAGCACUUACUAAUCAAAGGUCGUAGGCCAUUAGGGUUGUGUCCUAUGGACUCCUUCCCAAGCCCAUUUCGUUCAACUUUGAGAGGAUGUAUUUGUAAAAAUGCAAAUACCUUUGGGUAAAGAGAGUUUUCUAAAAUGUAAAUAGUGUUUGAUAAAUUGUAAUUCUAAAGUGUAUUGAGAAACAGCUUUGAACAAAAUACUAUUUGGUAAAAAUUGCAUUUAUAAAUGACUUUUAUUAAAUUAAAAAAAUAUUGCAUUUGUAUUUUUUUUUUUAAGUCUAGCAAUCGAUUGGCUAGAUCUGUCGGCCGGACUGUCAGAUCUGGCCGCCAGAUGCUAUCGCCCACUUUAGGUGAGGUUGCUCGAGGUUGCGUGACCCCAAGCGUCGGCCGUCAGCAUAAGCAACCUUGGCCGGUGAUCGUUAGCCUCCAAUCGACUUUUUUGUGCGGCGAUAUUUGAAGAAGAUGAACAGUAACCAAUGCUAAGACUUGCAUUCCGAAAAUGCAUCUUACCAAAGUACCUCGGACCUGCUUCGGACUAAAAAGCUUUUAGAGUCAUUUGAAAAUGCAAUUAUAUUUUCUCAACGUUGAGCAAAAACACGAACUAAAUGCGUUUGCAUUUGGCCAAAGGAUUUUAGAGUCCCAAAGCCCAUUCCAAAUGCCGAACCAAACAGGAUCCCAUUCAUUGAACUCCAAGGAAACUGUGGAUUCAAGUUGGUAGACACAAACUCGAUAGGAAAGUAUCGGAGAUUUUUUGAUAUAUUUCUUUUGGAGCGAGAUUCUUAAGAAAGAGAUUGAUAUCAAAUUUAUCAGUGAGGAUGAGCUUGAUACUGGAACUAUAGUCUAUAGGCUUCGUAAGGCUUGGCGGUAAUGAGAAAUCAAGUGAGGAAAGCCGCUGGAGAUUAGGUAUGCGCUUCGGAAUGGAUCGUACAAGAAUCCACCAACGAAGCUAAUCCUUUCUCAUCCCUAAUAAACUAGAUUGAGAAAACAAUAAAUGCAACAGCUCAUACACGUAUGUGGCAGAUGCAUUGAAUUGCCCUCUAGUCAGUGCACUUCACAAGUAGAGAAAAUUCAUUGCCGAUCCAAAUUUAACAUGAGUCUGCUUUUUCAGAGUUAAACUAAUCUUAUAUUUCUUUUUUUCUUUUUUUUGUGAUUUCAGAAGAUAUGGAAAUGAAUUGCUUCAUGUCCAUCUCUCUCUCUCUCCCUCUCUCUCCAAAAACAUCACAAUUAUAAUGCGCUAUUGAGCUGUUAUGAUUGUGGACUUUAAUUAAAAACACUUAUCCCAACUUUUGUCAGCAAGUGUUUUUAGAAUAGACGUAAUCAUACUCACGAGAGAGACGGUGCAAAUAACAAACUUUCUUUAUCUAGGUACGUGACAUGUACUGUAUAUCUACUCGCUAGUACAAUUCUCAUAUUUAUUUAGUGAUAUGUGAUUAUAACAUAUCAACUUUGGAAUCUCUUCUUGUUUGGUUUGCGACUCUUAAUAUCCAUAUCGUACUAUAAAUGAUAAACCAAAUUCAUGAGUUUAGCUUGUGGAUUCGCAAAACUAUCUUAUUUUUAUUUGUGUACAUCAUAUUUUGGUUUGUGACUUUUAUAAAUCUAAAAAUUCUCUUAAAAAUUGAAAUUAUAUCAUGAAAAACUUUAAAUUGGUACAUUUAUCACAUAAUUACCUCAAAUGACUACAAAUAAUCCUAAACUAAUACAAUUGAAAUAAAUUUACUUCAAAUUAAUUUUUUGACCCAUGAUACGUUUGUGAUAUAUAUACUCUCCAUUAAAUUAAAAAUCAUAAAACUGGUAUAAUUGUGACAAAUGCAGAGUAAAAUUUCAAACUAGUAUAACAAUCAACUGUCUCGUGUCAUUAGUAUUUUAACAAUAAAAUUUAAUGGAAAUUAAUAAAUGGUAAUUAUAAUAAGUAUACCGAUUUGAGAUAAAUUUGUCAGAAGUCUAUUAAUUUGGGGAUUUUGAUAGUAAAAAAAUUAGUUUAUAAUAAAUUUGUCCAAUAUCGAUUUAGAUUUUUUAUGGUAUUAAACCUAAAUUUUUUUUUUAUUUGUUAUGAAUUAUACUCGGAAGGAUGGUAAAUUUCCUCUGCAGAGGUGAAAAUUUCCAUAUGAUGUAGUUUUGCUACUCCUGGUUCUUUCUCACUCUGUUUUCGGGAAGCUCGGGAGUCGUUUGAUCGUUGGUGACUGGAAGUUCUCUCUGCGAGGGAGAGAAGGAUGAAGAAGAAGAAGAAGAGAGGUCAGUCGAAUCGAACGUGAUCUUGGUUGUGAUUGUACCCACCGUUGUCUCAGUGUAAGUCCUAUGUUCAGUUCGCUCUCUAAAACCCUACUUCGGCGCCCGCUGUUCUUGCCCACCACCCUCAGAUUAAUCUCCACUGCCACCGCCGCCUCGAAUCGAACCUCUUUCGCGUUCUCUUAUCUCGUGAAUUCAUGUGGGUUGUCCCCGGAGUCGGCGUUGUUUGUUUCCAACCGCGUCACCUUCGAAACCUCGGCAAGACCCGACGCGGUGGUUAACGUCUUCAAGAGCCAUGGUUUCUCUCAAUCCCAGAUCUCGGGUAUCAUUAGGAAGUGGCCUCCGCUGAUUCUGGCGAGACCUGAGAGGACCCUCUUGCCCAAAUUGAAGUAUCUGCGCUCUGUCGGCUUUUCCGGCUCUGACCUGGCGCCAAUGAUCACCUUUGCUCCCUACUUUUUGACUAGGAGCUUAGAGAAGCACCUCAUCCCCAAUUUCAGUAGGCUGCGGGACUUCCUUGGGUGCAAUAAGAGCGCGGUUACAGCUAUUAGACGCAGUCCAAGAAUAUUGUUACAU
rnacentral:lncRNA from 1 species